AGCGAACGCUGGCGGCAGGCUUAACACAUGCAAGUCGAGCGGAGAUGAGGUGCUUGCACCUUAUCUUAGCGGCGGACGGGUGAGUAAUGCUUAGGAAUCUGCCUAUUAGUGGGGGACAACAUUCCGAAAGGAAUGCUAAUACCGCAUACGUCCUACGGGAGAAAGCAGGGGAUCUUCGGACCUUGCGCUAAUAGAUGAGCCUAAGUCGGAUUAGCUAGUUGGUGGGGUAAAGGCCUACCAAGGCGACGAUCUGUAGCGGGUCUGAGAGGAUGAUCCGCCACACUGGGACUGGAGCACGGCCCAGACUCCUACGGGAGGCAGCAGUGGGGAAUAUUGGACAAUGGGGGGGACCCUGAUCCAGCCAUGCCGCGUGUGUGAAGAAGGCCUUAUGGUUGUAAAGCACUUUAAGCGAGGAGGAGGCUACUGAGACUAAUACUCUUGGAUAGUGGACGUUACUCGCAGAAUAAGCACCGGCUAACUCUGUGCCAGCAGCCGCGGUAACAC
rnacentral:rRNA from 1 species